rnacentral:rRNA from 1 species
CAGACAUGCUCCGUGCGUUCAGCCGAAAGGUGUACUUGUCUGUGUGGUAGGUUAACAUCAAUUUCGGUCGUCAUAAAAUAAUUGGAGGAAUGUAGCUUUGGUCUCGUAUCGAAGUGUUAUAGACUCUGGUAGAUGUGACGAUUGGGAUUGAGGAUUGCAACGGAUACCCUUCGGGGCUACCCGUCUGAUCUCUGAAGGUUGCUCCGGUGCCGAAAGCGUGCUUACGGUCAUCGAAAGUGAUUUUCAAAAGGUUAGAACGGUUAAAUUCGUUAAGGAUGUUGACGUAAUGGCUUUAAACGACCCGUCUUGAAACACGGACCAAGGAGUACUAACAUAUAUGCGAGUGUU